rfam:Chlorocebus sabaeus isolate 1994-021 chromosome 5, whole genome shotgun sequence.
GCCGGGCGCGGUGGCUCAAGCCUGUAAUCCCAGCACUUUGGGAGGCCGAGACGGGCGGAUCACGAGAUCAGGAGAUCGAGACCAUCCUGGCUAUCACGGUGAAACCCCGGCUCUACUAAAAAUACAAAAAAUUAGCCGGACGCGNNNNNNNNNNCGCGUCCGGCUAAUUUUUUGUAUUUUUAGUAGAGCCGGGGUUUCACCGUGUUAGCCAGGAUGGUCUCGAUCUCCUGACCUCAUGAUCUGCCCGUCUCGG